rnacentral:rRNA from 1 species
GCAAACGUUCAUAUCACGUUGAAUACACCAGUUCUCGUCCGAUCACUGAAGUUAAGCAACGUUGAGCGUGGAUAGUACUUGGAUGGGUGACCGCUUGGGAACACCACGUAACGUUGGCU